AUUAUUUUGGCAGAUUAGUGCAUUAAAUUUAGAAUUUAAUUAUGUAGUUAAAUUACAAAUAAU
rnacentral:tRNA from 1 species